CGAGUAGCGCAGCUUGGUAGCGCAACUGGUUUGGGACCAGUGGGUCGGAGGUUCGAAUCCUGUUCAA
rnacentral:tRNA from 1 species